CAUCUCAAAAAAAAAAAAAAAAAAAAAAAAAAAACAAACAAACAGAAAAACCAAAAAUGCUUUGUAGUUGUUUUCUAGCAACUUAAACAUGGUAUUUUCUGUGAGAAGAUUUAACAUUCAACUAGAGUAUCCUGUUAAAAUGAUAAUAGUAAAAGGAUAAACUAAAAAGUAAAGGUAUGUGUGUUUGAAUUAAUUUUGACUAUGCAUUUUCUCUCAAGUAUACAACUGAAGCGUUAUAUAAUUGUAGAUAAAUUGCUUCAGUCAUUUAUGUAUACUACCUUAGGGUGACAGUAUUAUUAGAAUUUUUGCUUUCCUAUUAAAAGCUCACCUUUAUUUAAGUGGACAUGUAUGAUGAAGUUUACCAUAUGGUUUGUUUUUUGUAACGAAAUAUAGCAGUAUUUUCAUUUUAUAGGAAGAGACUAAAUACAUUUCUACUAGGGCAUAAUUACUGAAGGUGACAUGCUUUGUAACAGUUCUACUUUGUAUUGCUAUAAGAGAUUAUGUUUUAUUUUUUAAAGAAUCUCUAAGAAACGAACAAUUUCUAGAUUUUAUGAGAAACAAGGCACAGUUCUCCAAAUUCUGCUGUAUAAUCCCUUCCUUUAAAUCCCUAAAAGAUUGAAUUUAUAAAUGGAAGAUGGCAUAUCACAUGGGGACUCCUUAUAAAGAACAAAAUUUGCAAAAUCCCGUUAUUCAUUUUUAUGGUUAUCCCAAGAAUAUUGAUUUGUCAAAGAUUAAGAACAUAUGAUUUUGUACCUUUAUGAAGGGUCCAGCUCUGCAGGGUCUAGUGGGUGUUCUUUUGUGUUCGAAGAUGAUAGAUCACAGGAAAGAAAGACACAAGACUCAGAGAUAAGAGAAAAAUUCAGCUGGGCCCAGGGAACCACUACUACCAAGGUGCGGAUAAGCUGGCGCGGUG